GAGCUUCCCUUUGGAUAUUUGUAUCCUUCAACUUCCAGAUGAAUGAGAAAGGUUAAGGAUGAUGAUCUAUUGUUUGCUUUUUCCUGAGGUCCUGCGUCUUCCCUGGUUCGAUGGCAUCAAACAUCACCUGCCCCUUCCUGCAGAGACUACUCACCCUCUGCAGUCUAAAGAGGGCCCUUUCUUUGUAAAUCUUUUAAAAACUCAUAACCUUGUCAAAAAAUUAUGCAAGAACUGCAACAUCAUUGUAAGAUGCAAACUCAUCUAGUUAGGAAGCAGAGACUCAUUUCCUCAUGAAUUUUUAGAAGCAUAAUACAGUUAACUCUUGUUACUAUGUGGUCUGUUGUUUAUUCAAGGCAGAGGAUGCCCAUGUGGGCGCACCUUUGUGUUGGGUUUCUCAGUGAAUCCUGCAUAAUGCAGAAAGAGUUUACUGUUCAGGUCAGAAGCAUGUGCUGGUGCAGAGGACUGAGAGGGGCUGGAUUAAGAUGAGAGAAUGGGGGUAUAUACAUCACCUCCAUAUAUAUUCUGCCUACAUUCUCACAUCAGCUGUUAUUGGGACUUUCAUACAUAAAAAUGGCCCUAAAAAGAUUCUACCUUUAGCAGAAUAAUUCAGGAAGCCCAGUUUGUCUCUGCCAUCACUUGCAGCUAUCACUCUAAGUUAAAACCUUGGGUCAGUUUUGGAUGAGAGUCUCUGACUCCUCUCUGUUCUUCUUGAAGUUAAGAGUGACUUGACUAUAUGGAGUUCCUGCUAUAGCUCAGUGGGUUAAGUACCCGACAUAAUGUCCAUGAGGAUGCAGGUUCAAUCCCUGACCUCACUCAAUGGGUAAAGGAUCCAGCAUUGCCACAAGGUCACAGACACGGCUCAGAUCUGGCAUUGCUGUGGCUGUGGUGUAGGCCUGUAGCUGCAGCUUCAAUUUGAUUUCUAGUGUGGGAACUUCCAUAUGCCACAGGUAUGGUCCUAAAAAGAAAGAAAAAAAAAAUAGUGACUUGACUAUAGUGAUACUCAGACACCUUCCAGGAUGGUUCCUACAGCUAUCAUGUACCCCAGUCUUAUUCCAGACCAACAGUUAUUGACGUAGCUUAUUGAAGACUGUGUGGCCCACAUCACUUCUUAGAUCUGCACAUCAGAUGUGACCUCGUGGAUCUGAGCAUCCCACAUCAUCUCUUGGCCCUGCACGUCUGAUGCCCCCUCUUUCCCUUUGACAGGUCUCCAUCAUUGUGAUUUUUUUUGGCCUUUCCUUUCUCUCUGGCAGCUCAAGUUGCUCCAGGAUCAUCUCUUACAUUUACCACCCCAGUCCUUGAAUCAACCAUUUGCUUUCCCUUCCAAGAAGCACUGAUUCCUUUUCCUGGAGAAUGUGGAGGUAUUUCACAACAUCUGGCUGCAAGAUGUGACAAAUGGCAAUUAUUUUUAAGUCUAGGAUUAAAAAUAGGUGGGCUCCCUCUUAAGAGCUUUUGUUGAUUACUGCCUUUCUAACACCAUUGUCCAGGGUGGAGGCUGUUGGUGGAAGAAACUAUGCAUUCACAUACUUAAGGAGUUUCCAGAGAGGCACCGUCAGGAUUGAGAAAAGUCCUUUGCCAUUGAAAAAUUUCUCAUGUGAGUUUAUGAAUGAAAAAGGAGGAAGGACAGUAACCCUGGAAUCUCUGCAAUCUCCCCGUAGCCUUGACCUCCAAGAUUAACAAGGUCCCAGGUGUGACACCGGAUCAUGAGAGCAGUUUCAUGAGAUAACUUUGACUUGGAGUCUUAAGUGCAGCCUGCCAGGGUAACGUCUGUUACCCUGUGCUUUUUGUACUCUGGAGAGUGUAGACUGGGGCUAAUGAUUGGAUUCAAACUCCUGAUUUGCUGGUGGGUCAGUAUUCUGGUACUUUACAGGAAUGGGGGGAACAAAAGUAUAAUAAUAUGGAAAAGAACUUGGUGACUUAUUACAUGUGGGAUAAAUGGGAAAGGGGAGAAUGAAAAACUAAGGAGUUUUCUGGUUUUAUUAAAGCAUUGCAAAUGCUUUAAUAAAAAUGGGGACAUUAGAUAUCAAUGCAGAAGUCUACAAGAGGGUUGGAAAUGUGCAUCUGAAAUUCAGAAAAUAUCUGAGUGAACGGAUUCAGGAUCCAUUUUUACAGGCGUCAUAAGGAAUUAUUUUCUUCCUCGCGUCUGACAUGUACCUUGAAAAUUGUAGUAUGUGUGCUGGAAAUAGUAGUAUAUGGGUGGAUUUCACUUUGAAAGGGAUAAAUGACUUGAAUAUGAGUUACUUCAAGGAAUAAAACUCAUUCACUCAUGUCCUUUUAGAAUAUAUGUGAAUUAAAACUAAGAUCAAAAUAGCAACAACCAAAAUGAUUGGUUCAAUGAACUGCCAGACUACAGACUUAUGAGAAGUUAUGAGAAUGUGCUCUAUGCUAAUGUGAGAAUUGCUGUGAUUAUAGGAGCUGUUAGUAAAUUGCAUGUUUUAAAAAGUAUAAAUUACUUUUGCUUGAGAAAUGUGAAAGUUAUUUCAGGGAUAUAUUUAUAUUUCGUUUGUAAGUUACUUUUCUUGAGAGAUGCAGCUCUUCAUUUGGGGUUGUAUUUUUAUUCCCUUAACAGAUCGUAGUAGUUAGCACUUUAUAACUGUCACUAUCAGCACUUCUGCUUAAGUUGAAUGAAUUAACUGCUGUGGUUAUAUCUAUGCUGAUUGUUCACAUCAGUUAAACUCACUCUGAAAUGGAGGAGACCAAGUAAAUUCUUCUCUGUAUCAUAUGUUUGAGUGUUGGAGGCUGGUUUUAAUAUAAAUAUACAAAGGGAACUAACUGAAAAGGUAAGAUAGAAAUGUCAUUCUUUUUAAAGGAGAUUUACAAUUUAUAUUUAUACAUAAGUAAUAAAAAUUAUAAAUUAUAAUUAUGAAAAUUAUAAGAUUUAUACUCAUAUAUAAAUAUUUAUUUAUGGGAAGGAAGCAUCAAGAUCAUGGACAAGGUGGAUAGUUAAGUAAGACUCCUAGGCCCACAGGGCAGGAAAGCUUACUGGUCCUCAUUCAUUCUGGUGCUCAUCAGCACCGUUUCUGUCAUGCCCUUUUCUGACUGUUGGUGAUAACACAGAAAUGUGACAAACACUUGGCUGUUGCUUUUCUUCUCCUGGACACAUAGCAGACAUAGCCCGAUGAUUCUUGUAAUGAUGAUCCCUAUUGUCUACUUAGAAUUCUUGUGCACACAGUGAUCCAAACAAUUAUAAUGGAAAUGCAUGAUGUAAUCUAUCAGCUCUCUUUGUGCAAGAAGGAGCAAAAACUCCUAAGAAUACCAGUAGAUUUGGAAACCUCAAUUGAAUCAAUCAGACAGAAAUGUUCAAGAACCAGGUGGGUUCCCAGUGUAAACAUUUGCUGAUUGCAACUUUGAUUCAAUUACUGUAAUCUGUCUUUCUGCUAUUAAGCCCUCUUCUUUAAAUAUCAGCACAUUAGAACUGAAAGUUCAUUGGGUUUUUGCCAAAAUCUCAUUAAUCAACUUGGUAGCAUUGCCAUUUUUGGCAGAGUCCUGUUCAAAUCAGUUUUUGUUAUGCAACCUUCUGCUGUAGGUGCAGUUAGAUUGGCCACAAAUAAGGCCAAAUCUUAAGUGCCAGAACAAAAUCAGCCAGAAUCUCUCAGUACAUUAAUUAUACUUUGUGCAUCCAUGAAAUACAUGAGCAAACAUGUGGAAAUGUAUUGAAGCUCACUGGUAACCAAGGUAACAAGAAUUCAUAAUAUCACUUUUCAAGCACCAAAGUAACAUACUUCUAAAAAAAUAGUAGUGUGCUUAAUGUUGAUGAGUCAGGGGUGAGAUUUAUAUUGCUAGUUAGAGGGUAAAUUGUUAGAGACUUUAUGGAAAAUAAUUAUUUAGCAAUAUGUACCAAGAGUCCCUUGGGCCCAUUGUGGUGUUCCCCCCCACUGCCCUGCCUUUUUAGGAUUCAUUCUGAAAAUGCAUUCAGAUAGCUGAAUAAAUAUUUCUAUAAAUAUGUCUGAAAGCAACAUAGAUAUACAGCAAUAGAAAGUUCGAUAAAUUAUAGUAUAUCAAUGAGAUGUCAUAUGAUGUGGCCCUUUACAAUGACGUAUUAAAGAACAGUUAAUGUUAACUGAACAAAAUAUGUAGCUCAGUCUACCAGAAGUAUAUUAUGAUUUUAAUUAUGUAAGUAUAUAUAUUUUACAUACAUAUAUUUAUAUGUACAUAUAAAUGAAAGACAGUAUAUCCACAUUGAUCACUCUUAAGGGAUUUUCUCAGAGGGUCAAUGUAGGAAUGUUUUUACAUUUUUUUAUGUAUUCUCUAAUGUAGAAAUGAAAACAUAUCUCUUCAACAAGAAUAUUAAAAUAUACUCAAAAGCACUAUUUAGGAUUUUAUUAUAUUUUAUUUUUAAAAUUUAUUUAUUUUUAAUUGUUAUUUCCCCAAUACAGUAUUUUUUUCUACUCUACAACAUGGUGACCCAGUUACAUUACAGUUUUGAUUUUUACACUGGUGAUAUAUUAAAUGAUGAUGUGCCUAGCAAUUUCAGCACACACAUUUUGUCAGAUGUUUUUCUAAUAUCGGACUACACUAGCACAAAAUACAAUUUGUUAUUACCAAUUAUAGUGAGUUAAGAAAAGACAUCAUGGGGAAAGGAGGACAUUUAAAGUGUAAAUAAAAAAUUGCUAUUUCUACCCAGAAAACAAAUGAAAAGAUUGCAAAAACAUACUCUUUAUGUAUUUUCCCCUCUCUGCUGGGAGAGAAUCAUUUUGUUGGCAGCACUAAUUCUCUAAGUCAAUUAGGAUGUCCUUUCACUGUCCUUCAGUGAAAUACAGGUCUAGUGACCUAAAAGGGUUAAAGAUGCACCCAGUGUGCCCGACCCGCAUAGAAGGUUUAAUACACUCUCCCACAGUUUCCUAGGAGGAGCAUGACUAUUACUUUGAGCCUAUCUACUUUUCCUUAUUUUAACAAAGAUUUAAUUACAUUUUAAAUAAAUAUUUUUAAAGCAAUAUGGCUCAAUCAAAGCUGCCCCAAUAUUGUAAAACUCACAAGGUGUCAAAUUCUUAAAAGCAGAAGAAUUUGUGUUGAUUUCCACUGAGCCUGCAUUUGAGAUGCAACAUUUCCAUCCCAAAGCAGCAGAAUAUAUAUUCCUCUCAAGAGCACAUGGAACAUUUUCCAGGAUAGAUCACACCUUAGGCCACAGAUCAAGCCUUGGUAAAUUUUAAAAAAGAUGAAAUUAUUUCAGGCAUUUUCUCCAACCAUAAUGCUAUGAGACUAGAAAUCAACUACGAUAAAAAAAAAAA
ensembl:lncRNA